GUGCAAUAAUGGUGUCCUGUCAACACAUCAUAGCACA
rnacentral:snoRNA from 1 species